rnacentral:rRNA from 1 species
UACAGAGGUCUCAAGCGUUGUUCGGAUUCAUUGGGCGUAAAGGGUGCGUAGGUGGCGAGGUAAGUCAGGUGUGAAAUCUCGGGGCUCAACCCCGAAACUGCACUUGAUACUGCCUUGCUCGAGUACUGGAGAGGAGAUUGGAAUUUACGGUGUAGCAGUGAAAUGCGUAGAUAUCGUAAGGAAGACCAGUGGCGAAGGCGAAUCUCUGGACAGUUCCUGACGCUGAGGCACGAAGGCCAGGGGAGCAAACGGG